AACGAACGCUGGCGGCAUGCCUAACACAUGCAAGUCGAACGAGACUUUCGGGUCUAGUGGCGCACGGGUGCGUAACGCGUGGGAACCUGCCCUUAGGUUCGGAAUAACUCCCCGAAAGGGGUGCUAAUACCGGACAAUGUCUUCGGACCAAAGAUUUAUCGCCUUUGGAUGGGCCCGCGUUGGAUUAGCUAGUUGGUAGGGUAAAAGCCUACCAAGGCGACGAUCCAUAGCUGGUCUGAGAGGAUGAUCAGCCACACUGGGACUGAGACACGGCCCAGACUCCUACGGGAGGCAGCAGUGGGGAAUAUUGGACAAUGGGCGAAAGCCUGAUCCAGCAAUGCCGCGUGAGUGAUGAAGGCCUUAGGGUUGUAAAGCUCUUUUACCCGGGAUGAUAAUGACAGUACCGGGAGAAUAAGCUCCGGCUAACUCCGUG
rnacentral:rRNA from 1 species